UCUUACAUGGUAUCAGAGCAAGAGCAAGGUUCUCUCUAAACAAAAAAAAAACCCUCGUCACUUUUAAUCUCUCUCUCCGCCGCUCUCCUUUUUUUUACUCUCUGUUCUUGGCUGCCAUGUCUCUCACCACCGCAGAAUCAUCUCUUGUGUUCAACGCUGCUGAUGCCAAAGCUCCGUUACUCUCUCUCAAUCUCUCUGGCAUCACGAAACUCACAUCUGCCAACUAUCUCACUUGGCAGUUCCAAGUCCGAGCCCUUCUUGAAGGUCACGAGCUCCAUGUCUUCAUCAAAGACGGCUGGUGCACCAGAAGCAACUGUCACCGUUGCUGGUGUCUCCACUCCAAAUCCUCUGUUCACGCACUGGAAACGACAAGAUCGUCUCUUAUACAGUGCUCUCCUCGGUACCCUAUCACUCCCCGUGCAAUCCCUUGUCGUUCGCACCACCACAUCCUUGGAGAUCUGGAACAGUCUUCCCAACACCUUUGGUAAGGCUUCUCGUGCUCACAUCAAAACGCUGAAGACUCAACACAAGCACAUCACCAAGGGAAAUCAAUCCGUUGAAGAAUCCAUGCGCAACAUUGUUGCUAAAGCAGAUCAGUUAGACCUCAUUUGGAUCCCCAAUUGAACAUGAAGAUCUCCUUGACAUCAUUACGGCUGGCCUCGGAGAUGAAUUUCGUCCCGUCAUCAACGUGGUGAAUGGUCGUGACACUCCCAUCUCUCUGCAAGAGCUUCAUGAAAAGCUUCUCAACCGAGAAAACACACUUUUCAUCAUCGAGCCACUCCCGUCACAGUCCCUCCCUGCCACUGCAAAUCCAGCUCACUAUCGCUCCCAGCAACCAACACGAGGCAGUUCCCGUGGCGGCCGUGGCUAUCAAGGCAAUUUUCGUGGAGGUCAUGGCUAUCAAGGUAAGUGCCAAAUCUGUGGUAUCUUUGUCCAUAGUGCUCGCCGUUGUGCUCAGCUCUCAUCGUCGACACCGACCUACGCAAAUCAUGGAUCGCCACAAUAAUCUACACCAUCACCACAGUGGACUCCUCAGCACUACACUACCGCCAUCCCGGCUGACUCCGCUCUUGGCCACUUAAUAGCGGUGCCUCGCAUCACAUUGCCUCUGAUCUUGCCACUCUCUCUCUUCAGGCACCAUACAACGGCAGUGGGGAGGUUAUGAUUGGCGAUGGCAAUGGUCUCUACAUCACACACACGGGUUCCACCAGUCUAUCAACUGGUUCUCGUCCCUUACUUCUCAAUAAUGUGCUUUGUGUUCCUUCUAUGAAGAAGAAUCUUAUAUCGGUUAACAAGUGAUGUAAGACUAAAAAUGUUAUGGUGCAAUUAUGUCCUCUUGAUUUUCAGGUGAGAGAUCUCAAAACGGGGGCGCCAAUCCUAAACGGCAAGGCUAAAGAAGGUGUCUAUGAGUGGCCGUCGAACUCUUCAUUCAAAUCCUCAAUUUAUGUGUAUCCGGCUGUCACUAAAUUGAGUCUAUAUAAACUCAUCUCUCCAUUCAUUGUAAAGAUAUAGAUUUUUGGAAUAUAAAAGAGAGAAUUUUCUCUAAAGCUUAGGCUUUGUUUUUGUUUAUCUAAGUUAGGUAGAUUCCUUUACUUUGUAAACGUUUGAGUCUAUGUCCUUUUUGUGGAUUCAUUAAGGUCUAGAUUUGUGAUCUCAUCACAAAGGCUGUCACACCUUUGAGUGGCGAUCCUCGAUCCACCAUGAAAACCACCAAUCGAUCAAACGAGAGAGAGCGACCACCAGCUCGUUUGAUCCCAUAUCUAUCUUCGCAUCCAUCCAUUGAGCAACAAGAGAGAGAGAGUUAAAGGCAGCUUGUUGCUUCCCGUGACUCCAUCUCUUAUCACCAAGCUUUGGAUCUUAUAUCACUAUGUCUGGCUUUAUCCUUUGAAACAGAAGUCACAGGUGGCACAAAUAUUUCAAAGGUUCAAAAGUCUAGUGGAGAAUCAAUUUAAAUUUCGCAUCACCACACUUUAUUCUGAAAAUGGAGGAGAAUACACUGCGUUAAGAUCACUUCUCUCAACAAGUGGUAUCACACAUCUUACUACACCGCCUCAUACAACGGAACACAACAGACUCGCUGAACGACGCCACCGACACAUCGUUGAAACAGGAUUGUCACUCCUCACACAUGCAUGCAUUCCACAAGCUUAUUGGUCAUACUCAUUUGCGGUGGCGGUUUACCUCAUCAACAGAAUGCCCACUCCAACGCUCAACAAUUCCUCUCUGUUCCAGCUUCUCUUUCAGGCAGACCCGAACUAUAACAAGCUUCGAACCUUUGAAUGUUUGUGCUACCCGUGGCUUCGUCCAUAUGGCCAGACAAAGUUCAGUCCCAAAUCUGUUCCAUGUCUUUUUCUCGGGUACUCUCUCACUCAAAAUGUUUACAUUUGUCUUGAUCUCUCCACUUCUCGUGUUUACAUCUCACGACAUGUGGAAUUCCACGAGUAUGUUUUCCCUUUUUUGCAGCUUUCUCGCAAUUCUUUGUCUCUUCCUUCUACCGAAUCCUCUCUCCCCGUCUCACCAGUGACACCGUUUGUUCGACCACUCAUGACACCUUAUGUCUGUCAUAAGAUCACUCAUCGAAAACAUCAACGACUACUUCAUCAGCCACUGUUACGUCUACAACACAACUUGAUCAAGGUUCAACAUUGUCAACAACACCAAUCAUUCCACCUGCUCCAUCGGUACCUGAUCCAACGAAUACUCAUUCCAUGGUGACUCAUGGCAAAAAUAACAUUCACAAACCAAACCCGAAGUAUGGACUCACUGCUCAACUUGGUGAAAUCGAACCACGUACUCACACACAAGCUCUUAAAGAUGAGAAGUGGAGUCGGGCUAUGAGUGAUGAGAUUGACUCACAAAAUCGGAAUCAUACGUGGGAUCUUGUUCCACCGGAAGUAGCACAGAAUGUUGUUGGUAAUCGUUGGGUGUUUUGUAAUAAACGGUUACCGGAUGGUUCCAUUGAAUGGUACAAAGCAAGACUCGUUGCAAAAGGUUUUCAUCAACGUCCAGGCGUCGACUUCUAUGACACUUCCAGUCCGGUUAUCAAGCAUGCUACAAUUCGCCUUGUUCUCGGUAUCUCCACUGCUAGUAACUGGCCGUUGCGACAGCUUGAUGUCAACAAACGCCUUUCUUCAAGUCCAUCUCAAAGAAGAAGUCUACAUGCAUCAACCAAUAGGCUUCACGGAUCUAGACAAACCUCAUUACAUUUACCGCCUAAACAAAGCCAUUUAUAGCUUAAAACAAGCACCACGUGCGUGGUAUAAUGAGCUUCGCUUGUUUCUCUUGUAGAUUGGUUUCAAAAAUUCACUUGGCGAUGCAUCCUUAUUCAUCCUCAACAAAGCACCGGUGCUUAUCUAUAUCCUUGUCUAUGUCGAUUACAUUGUGGUUACCGGGAAAGGACUUGAAGCAGUUAACAAUGUGAUUCAAGCCUUGUCUACUCGGUUUUCUCUCAAGGAUCAUGGUGAACUUUCAUAUUUUCUAGCUAUGGAAGCUACACGUACUCAAGAUGGUCUCUAUCUAACGCAAACCAAGUACAUUACUGAUUUGUUGGUUCGUACUCGGAUGGAAAAUGCAAAGCCGGUCUUGACACCGAUGUCUUCUACAAUGUCACUCACGGCAUCACCCGGUAUCUCUCUCUCGGAUCCAACUUCAUACCGUGCUACCGUUGGAAGUCUUCAAUACUUGGCCUUAACACGACCGGAUAUCUCAUUUGCAGUCAAUCGUCUCUCACAGUUUAUGCAUGCUCCAACAACUAUUCAUGAAGAAGCGGUCAAACGUGUACUUCAGUAUCUCGCAGGGACGGUCACCAAAGGUUUGUUUUUCUCUGCCAAGUCACCUCUUAAACUUCAUGCCUACUCUAAUGCGGAUUGGGGUAGUGACAAAGAUGACUACACGUCCAAUGGUGCUUAUAUCAUUUAUCUUGGGAAACAACCUAUCUCUUCGUGUUCAAGGAAGCUCAAAGGCGUAGCUCGCUCCUCGACGGAGGCUGAGUAUCGUGCUCUAACUGAGGUUGCCUCCGAACUCAAGUGGAUCACUUCGCUUCUCUCAGAACUCGGUCUCCAUUCCAUUUCGACACCUACACUGUUUUGUGACAACAUUGGUGCAACCUAUCUCUCGGUGAUCCGGUUUUUCACUCACGUAUGAAAAAUCUUGCGCUUGACUAUCAUUUUGUUCGUGAACAAGUUCAAGAAGGUGUUCUUCGAGUUUCUCACAUUUGCUCCACUGAUCAAUUAGCUGAUGCCCUACUAAACCAUUAACCCGAGCUCACUUCACUAAUCUUCUAAACAAGAUUGGUCUUCGUAGCUGACGUCCAUCUUGAGGGACGUGUUAGGAUAUUACCAUAUCUUGUCAAUCUUCUAGAAUGUCUUGCGUAUCAAGUUGUAUCAUCUUGCAUAUCAAGUUGAAUCUUGUAGAAUAUAGAAAGUGUACUCUGUAUAAAUAUCUCUCUUGUGAUUAAUAGAAAAUCAUCCUUUCACAAAUCUUACAAUAACCUUGUUAUAAUAAUUUCAUUAGUUAGCAUUUUUAGAUUCUAAUACUUUAUAUAUUAAGAUACUUAUAAAAUAACCUUGUUAUAAUAAUUUCAUUAGUUAGCAUUUUUAGAUUCUAAUACUUUAUAUAUUAAGAUACUUAUAAAAUGGAAAACAAUAUAUGAAAACAAGAAAAAUGUAAACUUAAACAUAUUACAUAUAUAUAUACUAGAUAGGAUCCGUGCGUAUAUACUAUAUGUAUAGGAUACAUAUACAUAUUACAUAUAUAUACUAGAUAUACUAGAAAAAUGUAAACUUAAACAUACUAAUACUAUAUUUUCCACGGGUUAUCGGUCGAAAUUAUCAUUUUUAAUUUUUAUUUUUAUAAACUUAACUAAAAUUAUAUAAAAAUAUGUUUUAAUUUUAGAAAAUAUAGUAUUUUAAUUAUUUUUAAAUAUAGAUUAACUAUGUAUACUAUACAAUAUAAAAUAUUAUUUGUAGUUUUGUUUAUUAUAUUUAACAGUAUGAUAUUUAAGAAAUGUUCAUAUGUGUAUUAUUGAAUUUUAAUAAAUUAUUUACAUCUAUCGGAAGCGUAUAACACUUUCUAAUUGCAAUGUGAGUAAGAUGAAGACAAUAUGAGACAGUUUAUAUCCACAUCAUGUAACUUUACUUGAUAAUAUGACAAAUCUUCAAAACAAAAAGACAAAUUCAUAAAGAAUUAGAGAAUAUGCACUAAAUAACAUAAAACCAAAAAACAAUUAAGAAAAUAAUAAUAACUAAACAAUGUCUAUUUGCUAUUUCGUUUUUGUCAAGUUUUGGUCCAUAUUACUCACGAGUUCUUAGUUGUCUCUUUUUUCUUUCCUCUCGCCGGCGAGAAGUCUCAAAUCUCCCUUUUUCUCUCAUUAGAAUUAUUUUAUUUUUGCUCGAUCUCCUAUUUCUUUAUCUUUCUCUUCCUCUCGUUGGAUUUCUUCACCACCAUAUUUUUUUUUGUUUUUUCAUAUCACUAUUUCUCUUAUUCGUCGGGCAUCAACACCGAGUCUCAUUACUCCGACACACCAGGCCACCACCACAACUGAAUCUCACAACUAUCACAAUCAUCAUCACCAUCAAUACAAAAUCUCGCUAAUUCCGAUCCACCACCUUCAUCAAUAUUUACCACCACCACUACCCAGAUUGAACCACCGUCAUCAACACCAACACCACUGUUACCGCAUUUUCUCCUCUUUCUCAACUGCUCUUAUUUCUCCAUCUUCUUUAGCUCCUCUGACAUCGGGUCGAGCUUCUUCGAUAACAACUCUAUUUUAUAUCUAUCGCCGUUCAUAAUUUUUAAUUUGUCUCUAUCACCAUAUAUUCUUAAUUUAUCUAUCUAUCUAUUUGUUUAUCUAUAGAGGUGAGUAUUUAGAAUCAUUUUUCUUCUACGAUUAAUAAUUGAUUAUAAAAUUUAUUUAAUUAUCAUUUAUACAAUAACAUUGUAUAAUUUCAUAAAUAUUUUUUAAUUUUAAGAAAAAAUUAAUCUUUUUCUCUUUUAUUAAUUUCUUAAUUUUAAGAAAAAGUAAUAUUUUUAUUUAAUAAGAUACAUCUAGUUUCAUUAUAUUCGUCUUCUUUAGAUUUUUAGAAUUGUUUUAUAUAAAAUAUAUAUGUAUAAUUUCUUUAUAAAUUUUUUAUAAACAAAUAUUUUUUUUGUUUUACACGUUGAUAAAUUUGAUAUGUGCAUAUAAUUUUCUUAUAUUUUUUAAAUAAAAAAUGAAAUUUUUGUUUAGCAGGUGUCAAAAUCUGAGAUCGAUAAAUUUGACAUGUGGCACGAUCCUAUGAGUUACUAACUUUGAAAACCAUAAAUAUUUUUUAUAAGGAAAAGGUAAUCUUUUUCUUUUAGAAUUAGUAAAUAAUUUUUAAUUUCUAUUUUUAUUUAAUAAGAUACAUAUAGUUUCUUUAUAAUUAUCUUCUUUACUUUUUAAAAAUUGUUAAAUUUCUAUUUUUAUUUCAUUAUAAUUUUUCUUAAAUUUCUAUUUUUAUUUCAUAAGAUACAUCUAGUUUCCCUUAUAGGGAAAAUUAUGAAAAAAAAUCUAAAAACAAACUUAAAUUAUUAAUCUAGGCCAUAUAUUUUAGAAUUAAAGAUGUACACCAACAAAAGACAAAAUGAUCCUUAUAUUUAUCUAAUGAUAUGAUUUAGCAUUAAAACAAAACAGCAUUAAACCUACCUUCACAAUUUUAACCAGCCCAAGUGAGAUUUAUUGUUGAUUUUUUUUUUUUUGUUUUAUGGAUUUUGAUAAAACCUAAAGAUCAUGACAUACUAUUCUAGGCUAAUUUUUAAUAAAACUUCAACUAAUUUCCCAAACUUAUAUAAAAUAUGUGGUUAGGUUCGUUUAUAUAAGUAAUCAGACUCCCUAAAAAACGAUUUCUCAGUUCUACAAAAAAAUAGGUAUGUCAUAGUUUCAUGGAUCCUAAUGUAUAGUUAGUAAACUUAAUCGGCAGAAUUGUUUCAUGAAUAGUUUCGCACAAUUAUUAUAUAGAUCUUUCAUGUAUAGUUGUUUGGUAAAGUUAUUGGGUGAAGUUAUUUUGCAAAGUUGUCUACAGAUUUUACUGUAUAUUUGUUUGCUAAAGUUUUCGAGUAAAGUAAUUUGGCAGUUGGUGAAUAGGUUUGGACAAUUAUUUUAGUAUAUAUUUGUUUAGUAAGGUUUUUUGGACAAAUUAAUAUGCAGAGUUGUUUGGUAAAUUUAGGUUUGCACAAUUAAAAGAUCUUAAGUAUAUUUGUUUGGUAAGGUUUUGUGGAAAAGUUAUUAUGCACAGUUGUUUGGUAGAUUUAGUUUCCUUGGUUAAUAAAGUUUUUCGGUAAGUUGUUCUGCAAAGUUUUCUCAUAAAUUUAGUUUCACAUAGUUAUUAUAUAGAUCUUAAGUAUAGUUAUUUGUUAAAGUUAUAAGGUAAAGUUAUUAUGUAGAGUCACUUUCGUAAAGUUAUUAUAUUGACUUUUAUUAUAUUGACUUUGUUUGAUAGAGUGUUUGUGUAGAAUAUUAAACUAAUAAAAAUUUUCUUCUUCAAUAAUAUUUUUACAUAAACAUGGUACAUACAAUUGUAGUUUUAGGUGAUUGGAUGUUGAAGAACGUAUGGCACUUUACAGUUUCGCUCGUUAAUGAGUUUUAUUUGCUACGAAUGGAGAAUCGUAAAGUUCAGAUCGUUGAUGAAUUAUUUGCUAUUUGUGGUGAAAUUAGCUAGAGAUCAUGUUGAUCUUGGUGAUCAUGAUGAGAAAAGUUUCCUUUGGCUUCUUUGAACCAGAAAGUCAGUCCUCGUAUAAUCCUCUUGGAAUGUGGAAUCAACCAUGACCAUGGGCGGAGGCAGUGUAUUAUUAUGGGGGUCAGUUGACCCCUAUGAAUUUUGAAAAUUCUAAUACAUUUUAUUAAGAGUAAUUAUAAUGACCCCAAUGCAUUAUAGUUUUUGACCCCAUAUCAAACUAAUUUAACUACAUGAAAUAAAAAUUGUCAUUAAAACAACAAAAGAGCCAAAUAAGUUUGGUUCAUUAGAAUUUUAAACCAAAUUCUAAUGUAAUAAAAUUAAAAAUCCUUGACUUAUUUAAAAUAAAGUUCAACUAAUGAUCUAAUAUUAUAAUUAUUUAUAAAAAAAAACCCACAAUUUUUUUUUGCUUUUGUUAAUCUUUGUGGACCAUAACAAAAAAUUUUAAAUAUUAAUUUGAUUGAUUUUCAUAUUUUUUUUUUCCUUAAGUAUAGAUUAUUUCUAGACAAAACUAAUAGUAAAUUUUAUAUAAUAUAUUAUAAACUAAUAGUAAAUUUUAUAUAAUAUAUUAUUUUCUAUUAAUAAGUCUCUCCUUCCUUAUAUUUGUCUUUUUUAGAUUUUUAGAAUUGUUUUAUAUAAGAUAUAUACGUAUAAUUUCCUUAUUACUUUUUUAUAAACAAAUAUUUUUUUUGGUUUUACACGUUGAUAAAUAUGACAUGUGUGUAUAGUUUCCUUAUAUAUUUUUUAAAUAAAUAAAAGGAAAUUUUUGUUGAACACGUGUCAAAAUCUGAGAUCGAUAAAUUUGACACGUGGCACGAUCCUAUGAGUUACUAACUUUGAAAACCAUACAUUGUAUAAUAAGAUUUGGAAAAAUAAAAAAUGUUAAAAUCUGUUAUUAUAACAUAUAAAAUAAUAUCAUUUGAAAAUUAAGAUGCUUAUAUGGAAACAGAAAAGUGUAAAUUAAAAAAAAAUUACAUGUGCGAAAAAAGAAUAAGUUUUGUAUGAAUAGGAUUUCAAACGACUAAUCACGAUUAGUCAUCUCAGUAAUUAGCAUAUUUAGAUUCUAAUAGUUUAACGUAUGUUUUUUAAUCUAGCAAAAUUUUAAUAUUAAAGUUUUUCAAACAAAAAUAAAAGAUAUUAUCACUUAGUGCCAGCUAAACAAAAUAUUUUUCUAGAAAACAUAUUGAAAAUUAAGAUUUUGUUAUGCAAGACAAUGUAAUAAAAACAUAAAACAAAAAAGUUUUUUGGCAAACACCAAAUAAAUAAAAAUCAAUAUUUUAAUAACUAUCGUUAAUAUUAUAUGAUUUUCAUCAAAAUAUAUAAAAUAAAUACACAUGUACCAGAAAUGUUAAGAUGUAUUACUCUAUAACUGAUUGAUUAAUAGCAAAAGUAUUUCCUAAUAGAAAAGAGAAACAUAAGUAUGCGUAAACGUAUGGUAGUUUAAUUUCUAAUAUUUGUCAAAAUAUUUUUAUUAAUUGUUUUACUAAUAGAAAAAUCAUUACAAAAUACAACAAGUAAGAUAAAUAAAACGUCAUAUUUUUUUUGGUAAGGAAUAGGAGACUAUGUCUCCCUUUUAUUAAGAAAAAAUAAAAACAAGUUACAAACGAAUACGUCUUGGGCGCGUAGACCCAAUCACGUUACCACUGAGAAGUGAUUCAACAUCAUUCGGAACAACAUCAAAAAAAUGAAAACCAAGAGGCAAAGAGAACGCAUGGUUCGCUAACCCAUCAGUAAGACGGUUAGCUUUCCUAUACACAUGCGAAAUACGGACUAUCCAGUCCCUCGAUAUAUAAAAAGCCAUGGCACAAGCGUACCAGGAACGACAGCGGAUGCAUCUCACUCACCCCUGUCUUCAGAAAUCCGACUACUAGCUGCGAGUCCACUUCCAGCUCCAACCGUGUGAUUUGUUUCUCCCAAGCUAUAUAUAAACCGUAGUACACUCCCCAUAAUUCCGCCAAUGGUGCCGUACAACGACCUAUAUUGAGAGAAAAACCACCACACCAAUCUCCAUUCCCAUCUCUCAGCACUCUUCCCGCCGUGGCUAAGCCCGGAUUCCCGUGAGAGGCACCGUCUGUAUUAAGCUUAAUAAUAUUUUUGCAUUACUAAUGCCAAUAUCUAGCUAUUUAAAUGAUUACUAAGCCUAAAAUUAUAUUAAAACAAUUGAUAGAAAAAUAAGAAUAAAUCUGAGAAUUAAUAUAAAAAUCGUACUGGCACCGUAAGACAAGAUGAUUCUAGUCCUUUCUCAUCAAGGAAUAGAUUGUUAGGUUCUUUCUCAUCCAGACUCCUAGCACUUACAGAACUCACCUGCUCACUAAGCUUUUCUUCUCCUUUUAUUACAUGUUUCAGUAUGUCUUACAUGUAUCAUACUUUUGGUUUUCAAGAGGUUAAAAGCAUCUAAGACGCGGCUUAUGGAGCCUUGAUCAUAUUUUUCCCGUGGCCUCACAAAGAGAACUCUCUGUUGAUGAAUGGUUGGCAAUCCUCCAGCCAGGCUUUUCCAAAGCCAUAUGGUCUUUGACACAAAAUCCAGUUUUGGUGAAGACCUUCCGGUAGUCGGUUGGGCUGAAAGAAUGUUGUAACCCUUUUGUACCAGUUCUGAUAAUCCAUCCACAAAACCAUCACCUCCCAAAACGAGGAGAAUAUUAGGUAGCGUGCGGAUCUCAUGAAUCCACAUUACCAACCUCACUAGGAUUUUUUUUUAUCACUAUUCUCCUUUAACACUUUUCCUUUCCGCUUGAGGGGCUUGACGUAAUCUUUUUCGAUGCCGGUCAACUCCAGAAUCUCUUGGACAUUAGGUUUAAGGUUGGCAAAGCUUCCGACAGUGACAAUGGACACUUGUCAAAAGUAGUUCGCUUUGUCUAGCUAAAGCCUAAUGUUACGGCUCAAAAAGCAAGGAUCCACGUCUUUAGGGAUAGAAACGUUCUCUGUAUCCCAAAGCAUUGUUGUUUUGGAACCCUGCAAAAGAAGAGAUUAGAUGGAGAAAAAAGUUUCACGAUGAUAUAAGUCAUCGCUUGGGAAAGAUGCUACAUAAGAAGUGUUAAAUAAGGUAUAGGUAAAAGAAACUCAUGAAGCUAAAGAACAAGUUUCAGAUUAAUUGCUAAUUCAAGGGCGGUUAUUAAUUCUAAGCUCAGUGUACAUGAGUUGAAUUAAUUAAAAGCUUAGUGUUAUUGCAGGUAUAAGACAAUAGUGGGAUGUAACUAGUGUAAAUGUGAUGCAAAAUUUGAAAGAAGGACUAGAUUUUGAACUCACGCUACGGGUGAGUUUAAUUUAUAUAUUUUGGUGAAAUAUUCCGAUUAAUGAUAGUUGUCAAAAUAUUUUGUUCAUAUGUUGGUAUUGGUAAUAUAAGAUGGAUUCAAUAUAAAAAAAAAAAAAUUUAAUCUUCCAAAUUUUCAAAUUUCUGUUGAAGCUAAAAUUUUAUUUCAAAAAUAAAAUGCAUAAAAUAUUGACUAAAACAUCAGUUGGAAUUUAGAAAACCUAGUAAUUCAUAAAAAUGAUUCCCUAUUUUCACUUUUCAAGCAGAUAUAAUUUACAUCAAAUAUUUAAACCCAAAAUUAUUCCUAUUUGCGAUCUGAACAACUAAAGCCCAGUUUUGGUAAACUGGAUUGAAUUAUUAUUUAUAGGCAUCUGUUAGAUAUCUUUUAGCGAUCUAUUACACUUAAUUAAGCAAAAUAAGAAACCAUAUAGAUAACAAGAAAAUUCUAAAAGAAGUCAACAUUAGGAUAUUAUUGGAAAACGUUAGCAAAGAUUCUUUGUUCUAUUAAUUUCCUCAACGCUAAGCUGUUUAAUGGUCGUUUUAUAACCAAAAAAAAAACAACAACAAACCUUCUCACAUCUCAUCAUGAAGUUGUCUUUUUCGUUCUUGUUUCAUCGUAAAAACAUCUUCCCUUUCCUAAGAAACAUCUGAUUUUAACAACGAAACAUAAUCAACUAUUAAAGUCUGGAUAAAUAAUUAAAAACAGGGUUUUGUAGGAUCUCUAUCAUACUUUUAUGCUUUUCUUGUCAAACUCAUCAAGAAAAUUUUCAAAAUUUCAUUUUAAAGUAACAAGAGAGAUCCUACAAAUCUAAGUUUUAGCUUAGAUUUUGGAUUUUGUAGAAAUGAGUUGUUUCUUGGGUCCAACUACGAACAACAAAAGUAGAGAAAAUGAAGGCUCAUCUUUGGCUGCUCCUUAUCAACAACAAAACCUAGCUUGUAAGCUCUCUAGUCGUAAUAAAACUCCGGGAAAUCGUCUUUUUUGUUAACAAUUUCAAAAAAUUUUAAUAGGGAAUGAUCGGAAGCAGAUAACAACAUGGGAAGCGGUGGGAAUGAACAAAGAAUCACCGAAAAAUAUCGAGGCAAAGAGUUUCAAAUUUCGUGAAUUAGCUACCGCGACAAACAGUUUCAGGCAAGAGUUCUUGAUUGGAGAAGGAGGGUUUGGGAGGGUUUACAAGGGAAAGAUGGAGAAGACAGGACAGGUAAAAAGAAAGUAAUAAAAAGAGAGAGAGAGAGAGAGAGUUGCUUUAUUAAUCAAUGGCUUUUGUCUCAAGAAACCAGAGACAAGACUCUUAUUUGUUUGUUGAAAUUAUGACUUUAGGUGGUGGCUGUGAAGCAACUUGACCGUAAUGGAUUACAAGGGAAUAGAGAGUUUCUGGUAGAGAUCUUCAGGUUGAGUCUUCUUCAUCAUCCCAAUCUUGCCAAUCUCAUUGGAUAUUGCCUUGAUGGAGACCAGAGACUUCUUGUUUACGAGUUCAUGCCUCUUGGUUCCCUAGAAGACCAUCUCCUAGGUAUAUUUUUCACAAUCCCUUAAACCAGUUUCUUUUGUUCACUUUUAGUUAUAAAUCAAAAUGGACUGAGCCAGAUAGUUUAAUUUCACUCAAAACUCAAAACUAUAAAUUUUUAUAGGAAUUUAGAAUUUUGUACUAUCAAUAAUUAUUUGAUUGAACUAGAUGUUGGAGCGGGACAACAACCACUGGAUUGGAACUCUCGGAUAAGGAUUGCCUUAGGAGCCGCAAAAGGGCUUGAGUAUCUCCACGAGAAGGCAAACCCUCCAGUGAUAUAUCGAGAUUUCAAAUCGUCAAAUAUAUUGCUUAACGGAGAUUUGGAUGCAAAACUAUCAGAUUUCGGUUUGGCAAAACUUGGUUCGGUUGGGGACACACAAAAUGUAUCUUCCCGAGUAGUGGAAACUUACGGUUAUUGCGCUCCUGAGUAUCAUAAAACCGGUCAGUUGACGGUUAAAUCUGAUGUAUAUAGUUUUGGAGUUGUGCUGUUAGAACUCAUAACCGGUAAGCGAGUUAUCGAUACAACGAGACCAAGUCAUGAACAAAAUUUGGUUACUUGGGUAAGUACUCUCUUUAAAUUUUAAAUACAUAUUCAUUUUUAUCAACAUGUAGGAGUAUUCAAACUGUUAGUUGAAGUUAAAGCUUUCAUAUUCCGCAUGUACCAACAACACUUAUUCAAACCUAACCGCAAAAUCCUUUCAUGCUUAUAAUUCAUUUAUUUUAACCAUCUACAAUUAUGGUUUAGGCACAACCGAUUUUCAGAGAACCAAAUAGAUUCCCAGAGCUAGCGGACCCACUUCUUCGAGGCGAGUUCCCGGAAAAAAGUUUGAACCAAGCUGUAGCAGUAGCGGCAAUGUGUCUGCAAGAAGAACCAAUAGUGCGACCAUUAAUCAGUGAUGUCGUCACCACCUUAAGUUUUAUGAGUACAAACACCGGUUCACCUUCCGGUAUAACCGAUAACGCCCUGAACCUUUUUCAACCUUUAUCUUCUAAGACAGUGGAGGACCAGGACGUGCUUCAAUGUGAGUCAGUUCCAAGAGAUGUGUACUCGUUACUAUAACAAAUUUUUACCAAACGUUUACAAAAUUAAUAUACGUUUUUUCACAGCUGUAUUUUCUCUAUUUAAUGUUGUAUAGUUAACAUUUUCACAAAGAAAUUGCAAAAUUGAAUGUUUUUUAACAAAUGACUUGGCUCCUCUACAGUUUUGGCCGCUCAAUAGAAAAUUGUUCUCUUUAAUAGGAACGUUUUUAUAGACAGUGCUAUAUAUGGACAGGGAAAUGAACCAUAAAACAAAAUGACAUUCUCCUAAUGUGAUCAUAGCUGUUUUAGCCAGCCAUUGAAUUAGCAUAAUCAUAACUUGUUAUUCUGUUCGUUUGUUGAUAGAUGGGUAUUAAGGCCUACUUUAUUUCAUUUGACGAUUAGGUUCUAUAUGAAUAAUUACUUGAAAAAUUAGGCAUUACCAUAAUCUGUAUAUAAAAAAAAUGAGAGAUGAUAUAUAUAUAUAUAUAUAUAUGACAUACAAAGGAGCAUGCUUUAGUUUUUCAUAUAUGAAAUUCUUUUUCAUUUUUUUUUCUUUUACGAUCUAAAUCAGAGAAAUCAUGAAGAAAAAUACAUGAAUCCAAAUAUGAAUCAAAACUAUAAAAGCAAACAUGUACUUCAACCUGAACCCUAACCCAAUCGGAUUUCAAAGAAAAACGAUGUCACUGUACAAUCUUCCAACAUCAUAAAAGUUUAUAACAGUUAUCUCGCAACUUUUUAAGUGCAGUCGAAAUUUGAAAAAUGUGCCUACAAUAUGAAGAUGGGGUUGAUUGUAUUGGAUUUGAUUUUUCCGAAUUAUCUUCAGUCAGCAAUACAUUUUAGCGAAAGUAUCUAUUGAGAUAUAUUCUAUAUCUCUAGUAUAUAUUUAUUUCCUUAAACAUAAACAUUGUAUAUAGUUUGCUUUGUCCCCAAGUUUAGGGCUUCUCUCGAUCUCUUUGUAUAUAUAUAUAUGUGGCCGCUUGGUCUAUGGAAUGAUAAGAAAACAUUCACGUCUUCUUAAUUUGUCAUGGUAUCAGAGCACGAAACAAUUCUCUUCUGAUUUUAUUUUUCGAUCAUUCUUUGACCUUAAUCAAUCUUGUUCUCUCUUGGCUUGAUUCUCUUUUCACGGCUGCCUCUGUUUUUCAUUCACGAAAACAGAGCCGUCACUAAUCUUUGAUCUCUUCCUUACGAUCUACUCUUCCUUCCUGCGAUGGCACUUGCAAAUCAGACUGCACCACCAACACACAAAACGAUCUCGCCUUUUGAUCUCACAUCCAAUGAUAAUCCGGGUGCAGUGAUUUCAUCCCCGUUGCUUAAUGGUUCGAAUUAUGAUGAAUGGGCCAUUAAUUUUCGUAUGGCGCUGAGUUCUCGCAAGAAGUUUGGCUUUAUUGAUGGGAGUAUUGCUAAACCUGCGGAGACUGAUGCAACUUUCGCAGAUUGGACAGCCAAUAAUCAUCUCUUGGUGGGCUGGAUCAAGCAAACGAUCGAGCCGAAGAUACGCUCUUCUCUGUCCACACGGGAAGUAGCAAAAGAAUUAUGGGAUAUCAUAAAGAAAAGGUUUUCUAUCAAGAGUGGAGCACGUCUACAACAACUUCGAAAUUCUCUUGCCAUGUGUAAGCAAAACGGGACUUCUGUUGAUGAUUAUUUUGGUCGAUUGACCAAAAUAUGGGAUGGUAUCUAAGAAUGUAUGAAUUCCAAACAGUGUACUUGUGGCAAAUGUGAGUGUGAUCUCAACACUUCACGUGACAAGGAACGGGAGCUGCUGCGAGUUCACGACUUCCUCUCCGGGCUUGAUGAUUCCAUUCACGGAGUUAUCCGGUCUCAGAUUUGCGCUGUAUCUCCUCUUCCAGACCUUGAUACUGUGUAUCAAACUAUUGUGCAGAAUGAAACAAUCCGGUCUUCUGCAAAUACGGAGCCCUCGAUGAUGAGCUUUGCAUCACAACUCUCACGACAAGCCAGCCCUGUCUUGCCACAACCACCAUCUCGGCCUAGUGGAUCUACAUCGGUAAACUCUACACGCCCGUUCAAUCGUGAUCCUUCUCGUCAAUGUACCGGGUGUGGUAGGUUGGGUCAUGAUGCGAGCUCUUGUUUCAAAGUGAUUGGGUAUCCAGAAUGGUGGGGAGACCGUCCACGCUACCGUAAUGAUUCUCGUGGUCGUGGCCGUGGUACUCCGCCGCGGGUCAACAGCACCCAAAUUGUGGUAGCCAACACCGCUGCUCUUCCGUCGGGUACUCCUCUUACUGAUGCUGAUCGCCAAGGUUUAAGCAACCUUACCGAUGAUCAAUGGAAAGUGGUUCAACGUCUGGUGGCUACUUCUAAGAUCAACGAUUCAUUGAGUGGUAAGAUCGUUGAUGUUCUAUGGGUUUUAGACACAGGUGCAACGCACCAUAUGACUGGGCGUAUUGAUCUUAUGACGGAUAUUCAGAAUAUUUUUCAGGUGUCAGUUAAAUUACCGAAUGGUUCUAAUGCUCUUUCUUCUCGCAAAGGAGCUAUCCUACUGAAUUUGCAAUUAACAUUGCAUAAUGUUUUUCAUGUUGAUGGUUUUGAUACAAAUUUAAUUUCUCUUGGUCAGUUGGUAACCGAGAAUUUUUUGGUGGGACAAUUGACUGAUCGUCUCUUGAUAUUACAGGACCGCGGAACGAGGACGCUGACUGGAAUUGGUGAACGAGAGGGAGAGGGACUGUACCACUUCCGCGGAGUUGAGCCUCUGAUUUCGUCGAAGACAAGUGUUCAAGUUGAUUCUGUUUUAUGGCACAAUCGAUUGGGUCAUCCAUAUUCUCGGGCUUUUGGCAUGAUUCCGGGUGUUAGUGGUUUAUCUAGUAGGAAUAGUGAGCUUUUAAUUUCUCAGUGUGAUGUGUGUUUUCGAGCAAAACAAACUCGACAAUCUUUUCCCGACAGUUCAAAUAAUGCUAUUGGAGUUUUUGAUUUAAUACAUUGUGACUUAUGGGGUCCUUAUCGUACAACAUCAUUCUGUGGCUCACGGUAUUUCUUGACCAUCGUUGAUGAUCACUCUCGGGCUAUAUGGAUAUAUCUCUUGAAAGACAAAGCUUCUGUUGCUCGUCAUCUUCAAGAGUUUCUUGCCUUGGUCGAACGACAAUUUUCUCGCAAAGUCAAGGUCAUUCGUAGUGACAAUGGUACUGAAUUUUUGUGCCUUUCUAAAUUCUUUCAUGAGAAUGGUAUUCUUCACGAGACGUCUUGUGUUUACACACCUCAACAGAAUGGUAGGGUUGAACGCAAGCAUCGACAUAUUUUGAAUGUUGCAAGGGCAUUGCGGUUUCAAGCUCAUCUUCCUAUCCAAUAUUGGGGCGAAUGUGUCAAGACCGCAGUAUAUCUUAUUAAUCGGACUCCGUCUUUCGUACUUCAUGGGACAACUCCUUACGAGAAGCUUUAUGGACGUCAGCCUUCGUUUAAUCAUUUGCGGGUAUUUGGUUGCUUGGCCUAUGCUCAUACUCGUGACAAUGGAGGUGAUAAGUUUGCUGCUCGUAGUCGCAAAUGUGUUUUUCUCGGGUAUCCUUCUGGCAAGAAAGGAUGGAAUCUCUAUGAUCUUGAUCGGGAAAUAAUAUUUACGUCUCGAGAUGUUGUUUUUUGUGAAACUACAUUUCCGUGUGCUUCCAAGAGUUCCGACCAACCUUCUACUUCGUCGAUGGAUCCUCCUUUGCUCAUUUCUCACGAUGAUAGUUCAGAAUUCUCAUCAGAUGAUGACAGAGCGAUCGAUCCCGAUCAAGAUCGUUCGAUCCCGGAACUUGAACCAAGACCUGUUGCUGACCGAUCGAUUGAUCCCGGUUCAGAUCGAUCGAUCCCUGAACCGGCACCAAUCCCAGAUGCUGACGAAUCGAUCGCUCCAACUCCCGAUCGAUCGAUCCCUGCGACUCCUGAUCCCGAUUCCGUUGUGGUAAGAUCAGUCGACUCUGUUCCUGAUCCUUCUGUUGCUCAACCUGUAGCUCCUACUAUUCAAGCUACUAGACACAGUGAACGCCCUAAUAAUCCUCCGGUUCGUUUGCAAGACUACAUUGUUGGUACAGUCUCCAUCGCAAGUCCCUCUUCUUCCUCUUCCCCUAUUCCUCAGCUGUCCUCAGGUUCUCUCUAUCCCAUCUCUGAUUAUAUAUCGUUUGAUAAAUUUUCUCCUAAUCAUCGCAGUUUUUUGGCUUCCAUUACUUCUAAUUUUGAACCACGAUCUUUCAAAGAAGCAAUGGAAGAUGAACGAUGGAAAGGAGCGAUGGGUUCUGAGAUUACGGCUCUUGAGCGUAACCAUACUUGGGAUCUUGUGGAGUUACCGCCUAAUAAGAAGGCUCUUGGUAAUCGUUGGGUCUUUACGAUUAAAUAUCGAUCUGACGGUACGAUUGAAAGGUUUAAGGCGCGUCUGGUUGCUUUGGGAAACCAUCAAAAAGAAGGCAUUGACUACACUGAUACAUUUUCUCCUGUGGCUAAGAUGAAGACGGUCCGUGUGUUUUUGGAUUUUGCGGUUAAGAAAAAUCAUGAGGUACAUCAAAUGGAUGUUCAUAAUGCCUUUCUUCAUGGGGAUCUACAUGAAGAGGUCUAUAUGAAACUGCCACAAGGUUUUUCGUCACCUAAUGAGACUCGGGUGUGUCGUCUCCGGAAAUCGCUUUAUGGCUUGAAGCAAGCUCCGCGUUGUUGGUUCGCCAAGCUUGCUGAUUCUCUGCUUAAGUAUGGCUUCUCUCAGACUCGUUCGGACUACUCCUUGUUUGUUUAUAAUAAACGCGGCAUUUCUCUCCGGAUUUUGGUGUAUGUGGAUGACUUGAUUAUUUCGGGAAACUCACCUUCUGCUAUCCAGGAAUUUAAAGACUACUCUUCUACUUGCUUUUAUAUGAAAGAUCUCGGCUUUCUUAAAUACUUUCUUGGCUUAGAGGUAGCUCGUAGUCCUGCUGGAAUUUACUUGUGUCAGCGUAAGUAUGCUUCCGACAUUGUGACUGAAGUGGGUCUUCUUGGAUGUAAACCGGCUGGUUCUCCUUUGGAUCAAAACCAGCGUCUUGCUCUUGCUACUGGUCCGGUUCUUGCCAAUCCAAGUCGUUAUCGUCGUUUGGUGGGACGGCUUAUUUAUCUUGCUGCAACUCGUCCGGACCUUGCUUAUGCCGUGCAUCUCUUAUCGCAAUUUAUGCAAUCUCCUAAGGAAGAUCAUUGGUUUGCUGCGCUCAAAGUGGUUCGGUAUCUCAAAGGUACACUUGGUCAAGGUAUACUUUUGCGAGCUGAAUCUUCAUUUCAUUUAACUGGUUGGUGUGAUUCCGACUGGGCUGGUGAUCCUCUCCGUCGCCGCUCCACUACGGGUUGGAUAGUUCAGCUUGGCUCCUCCCCAAUCUCUUGGAAGACUAAGAAGCAAGAUACUGCGUCUUUAUCGUCGGCCGAAGCUGAGUAUAGGGCGAUGAAUGCUAUCACGAAGGAGUUAAUGUUUUUGAAGAAUUUGUUAUUCGAACUUGGAGUUGAUCACACCGGUCCAAUGACUCUUUGUUGUGAUAGUAAACCGGCGAUUCAUAUUAGUACCAACCCGGUGUUCCAUGAGCGUACGAAACAUAUCGAGUUGGAUUGUCAUUUUGUCCGUGAUCAAAUUGUAGCUGGUGUGGUUAAACCUUUUCAUGUCUCUACCGAAGAUCAGUUGGCAGACAUUCUCACUAAGGCGUUGGGAUGCAAGGAAUUUGAUAAGUUUCUUCUCAAGUUGGGCAUUUGUGACCUCCAUGCUCCAACUUGAGGGGGGGGGGGGUAUUGAGAUAUAUUCUAUAUCUCUAGUAUAUAUUUAUUUCCUUAAACAUAAACAUUGUAUAUAGUUUGCUUUGUCCCCAAGUUUAGGGCUUCUCUCGAUCUCUUUGUAUAUAUAUAUGUGGCCGCUUGGUCUAUGGAAUGAUAAGAAAACAUUCACGUCUUCUUAAUUUGUCAGUAUCACAUUUCGACCAUAAAAUUAUGUUAUCUUGUCAUCAUUCACUCAGUCCUACAUAAUAUAUAAUAUGAAAAUUGAAAUAAUUAAUAAAUUUGUUUGGUCACUAGUAGUCGAUAUACUUGUCAUCAAAUGUAUACGGGUUUAAGGUUCAAAACUUGACCCUUCUUCAACCUUAAACACACAACAAUCUUAAAAACUGAUUUGAAGAUCUAGAAGAACUAGAAGAUGCUAAUGAUGAUGAUGAUACUAAUUUUGUCAACGAAGUUCAUGAUAUAGGAUAUGCCACCAGGAAUAACGCAUUGAUGACUCUCCUUCGUCUUGAGAUCACUGUGAAAUGUAUGAAAACGCUCGUGGCUGCGCUUCAGACAGCUUGGGUCCUCCUCAGAGCAGCCGUGGAGGAGAAUAACCACGAUAUGAUGGUGGGACAAACUGGAGUCUCAGAGAGGUUGUUGGCAGAGAUCCCUUGUGCCUAAAGGAUACAAGAACACACAAGUAUGUCAAUUUUCCUAAAUUUUUAUUUGAAAACUUUAGAUGCUACGAUAAAUAUUUAAAAAACGAAUAUUUAAAGGUAUCAAACACUAGCAAACGAUGAUUUAAAAAAUAUAACAUGCAUGGUUCAUCAAUGUUGAAUAAAAAAAUAUCAUAACAUCGUCAAUCCACAUGUUUAAAGAUUGAUUUUGAUAUGUAGAUAUUUUUUUAUUUUCCUUUUUGGAUCCGUUUCAAUUUAUCAUCUCUUUGCUCUCUCGUGUAAAUUUUUAAUUUGUAAAAAAGAAUUUAUUUUGUUGCAUGGAUUGUUGUACAAGGAACAAAAAACAAUACAGAAAUAUAAAUUAAUUAGAUUUUUUUAUGUAUAUGACAUAAUAUGAAUUUUUUAAAACGAAUACAAAUUAUUCAAUUUAUGAAGAAAAAAUUGUAACAGAUCAAAAUUCAGACUUGAGUAAUAUUUAAAAAAAAAAAAUUUAACUUGCAUGGUUCAUCAAUGUUUAAAGGUAUCAACGCUGGCAAGCGAAUUUCUAAAGGCACCUCCGACAAUACCGGUUUAAAACAGACGAAUUACGAAUUAAUCUGAGAAUUCAGUUAAACCGGGGAAUCCCGGUUACACUUGUUAAUGGGCUGAAGAAGGAGAUCGCCAGGCGAGCUCCACUCAAAGACGGGAGAUCGCCUGCAACCGACUUCCUCAUUUAAGAAAAAGAAGACUUUUCCAAAGAAUCAAGGAGAAUCCCGAAAAGAAAGGAAGAUCGAAGGUUAAAGUCUUGAAGAUUUAGAAGAUUAACAUAUCUAAAAACCGCCCUAAUUUGUCUAAAUAGAGGGGUUUGUCCUCUAUUCAAAGGAUCCACAACUUUAUGCAAAAACCCUAAUUGUUCUUAAGCAAAAACCCUAAUUUUGUCUCUAAGCAAUAAAAUUCAUCAUUCUUCUCGAGUCUUUGAUCAUUAACAGCAAGAGAGUUAAUUGAAUUUGUUUUCCCCUUUAGACAAAUUCAUUGUGUGAUUUUCAGAAUCAACAUUUAUCAUUGUGGUUUAUCGUUGACACCAAUGUUUACAAAACAAACGUAACCUAUAUGGUUUUGUUCCCAUAGUAAGGUUUCAUUGAGGAGUAAGGUGUUAAUGUAACCUAUAUGGCCUCAGUUGUCUUUUUUAUUCUCAAAGUAAAAUUGGAACCAACCUUUAGGACGUGAACAUAUUUGAGUAGAUAAUUUGAGAAAUUAUUGUAGUAUUAGUAACAUAUAAGCUUAGGUAAUAAUGGUCACAGUUUAUCACACACGUCACUGCUUACGAAUGAAAAAACAAGUCUCAAAAUAAGACCGUUGACUCGCCAGCCACGUGGAUGUAUCUCAAGUGAUAAAGACUAAACUGUCCCUCUUGAUCCAACAACGCCACCAUUAUCUAUGUAUGUCUAUAAAUGUGGUCCUCGUUUCUUCAUGUUUUAAUCAAAAAUUUAGGGAAAAAAAAAAGAUAAAUGGAGAAGAAUCUAAGAAGCUCAUCGUCUCUCCCUUUGGCCGGGCGUGUAGCUAUAGUGACUGGAGCCACGAGAGGCAUGGGCCGUGAAAUCGCGAUUCACCUUCACUCUCUUGGCGCAAGAGUCACCAUCAAUUAUGUCUCGAGCUCAUCAAAAGCUGAACUCUUGGUGCAAGAACUAAACGACUCAUCUCAACCAAAGUCAGCGAUCGCAGUUAGAGCAGAUGUAUCAGACCCGGACGAAAUCAACAACUUGUUUGAUCAAACAGAACAAGAGUUCGGAUCUAAAGUUCACAUCGUCGUGAAUUGUGCAGGUGUUUUGGAUCCAAAGUAUCCAUCUUUAUCCGAGACCACACUAGAAGAUUUCGACAAAACAUUCACAAUAAACACAAGAGGGUCUUUCUUGUGCUGCAAGGAAGCAGCUAAAAGGGUUAUGAGAGGAGGUGGUGGAAGAAUCAUUAUGAUGUCUACAUCAAUGGUUGGUGGUCUUGCCCCGGGUUAUGGAGUUUACGCAGCAUCCAAGGCCGCCGUGGAGACAAUGGUGAAAGUGUUGGCGAAGGAGCUAAAGGGAAGCCGAAUAACCGCGAAUUGCGUAGCGCCAGGACCGGUUGCGACGGAGAUGUUUUAUGCCGGAAAGAGUGAUGAAAUGGUGAAGAUGCUUGCAGGGGCUUGUCCUAUGGGGAGGAUCGGUGAGUCAAAGGAUAUUACCGAGAUUGUAGGGUUUUUAGCCGGUGAUGGUGGGGAAUGGAUCAAUGGUCAAGUUAUUAGAGCUAAUGGAGGCUUUGUUGUGUAAGAAAUAAAGAACUGACAAUGGAAUUUGAUGUUGUCUUCUUCUUUUCGUGUGUUGAACUACUUUUAUGUCAAUGAUGAUGAGUUGUUAAUGGAGUUAAUAUUUUUUGGUUUAUUGGGCAAGACAAUACUUAACAAAAGAAAAUAAUAAUACUUAAUUAUAAAAUAAUACUUUCAAUCAAACUUGAAAAAUUUGAGUGAAAAAAUAAAGAGAACCAACACUCCAAAAGCUAACUUUCUUCUGUUUUGUCUUCUCAUAAGAUCUUUCAACAAUGUAGUCUGAAAUUGUUGUGAAAUUUGAUGGAUUCAAUUAAAACAUAAAUCAUUUAUAAUCAACACAAAAAAAAACAUAAAUCGUUCAGAGCAAAUUCUCCAAAGGAACUUAAAUAGGUAAAUAUAGUUGAGUGAGAAUAGAAGGCAUCCAAUUAUAGAUUCCAUCCAAUUUCCUAAUGAAUGAAUCAUUAACUUUGUAUUAAUGUCUCUGUACAAAAGUGAUUAAUGGUUGAAUGAGUUUCAUGUUCUUUUUUCAGGUUUAGAAAUGGAGUAGGACUCUGUUCUUUGUCAAACAUAGCAUCUUGUCGGUCUUGUUUUGGUAUAUAUGUAACUAGUUCUCUGUUUUCGUAUAUAUGUAACUUUCAAAGAUUUAACUUUUUGCAUUGCAUCUUGUUUCACAUUUUUGUAACAAGUUCUCUGUUUUGGUAUAUAUGUAUUGUUACCAAACAGAACCAUAUAUUGAAUGAUUUGUACAUCUUGUUUCAAAUACUUAUUCUUGUUUUAACGCAAACACUUCUUCUUGUUUUACAAAAUUUAAAGUAUUUAUUUUUAAGAACCCCAAAUGAUAUUCUGCCAUUAGAAGAGAAAAAAGUUAAGAAUUCCAAAUAAAGUUCUUAACCUAGAAAAAAACAAAAUUUGUACUAAAAUAUUGUUAAGAACCCCUCUUGGGGUUAUGCCAUUGGAAAUGGUCUGAUCCAUCAUUGAUCAUACGGUACCGAUUCGGUUACGAUUAUUUCGGUUUUAAAAUUAUGAUACCAACAGUUUUAUCAUCCCAAAACGUACAUUUUGGGCUUCUUCAUUUUCAUGGGCCGAUUUUGAGCUUAUUAGGUUAAUGGACCGAUUUUGGGCUUAAAACCCUAGCCUUGUGUUGUGCGUUAUUUAUAACAAGCAACUUUUACAGAGCCGAAGGGAAGAAGAAGAAGAAGAUGGUGUCUGGGUCAGGGAUAUGCGCGAAGCGCGUGGUCGUAGACGGGAGACACCACAUGCUUGGUCGUCUGGCUUCCACAACUGCAAAGGAGCUGCUCAACGGACAGAAAGUGGUGGUUGUCCGAUGUGAAGAGAUUUGUCUCUCGGGAGGUUUGGUUCGACAAAAGAUGAAGUACAUGAGAUUCCUUAGGAAACGUAUGAACACUAAGCCUUCUCAUGGUCCUAUUCACUUUCGUGCUCCUUCCAAGAUCUUCUGGCGCACUGUUCGCGGGUUCGUUCACUCAAAUUUUGAAACUUGAUGAUUUGAAUUUUCGAUAUUUUUUAUUGUUUUAGAAUUUGAUAUCAGUGGAGAAGCUUCUAAAUUAGGUUAUGAGAGUGAAAAUUUGUUUUCUUUGUGUAGAUUUCACUAUUGACUGUCCAAUUGUGAAAUUGUGUUUUGUAUUAGUUGUGUGGUUAAUAGAAAUGUAACAUUUAUACAAAGAUAAAGUUUUGCCCUCUUAAGUUUUUGGGUUGUAGCAAAGAUUGAAUUGUGUGGAUAUUUUGAUGCAAUGGAAGUGCAAUUUAGUUUUCUUUGUGUCUAUAAGAGAUAUGGAAGUUCAAUUGUGUAAUUGUGUUAAGUUUUUAGGUGUGUAACAAUGUUUGAAUUGUAGAUAUGUUGCUCUCAAAUUGUUAUGAUAAGUUACGAUAAUCGGUUUUGUAGUUGCAGUGUGAGUAAUAGAAAUGUAGCAUUUAUACAAAGAUGAAGUUUUUUUUGACCUUUUUGAGUUUUGGGGUGUAGAAAGUUUGAAUUUUGGAUAUUUUGCUGUCGAAUUAUUAUCAUAAGUGUUGAUUAUCGAAGCUUUUGUAUUUGCUGCGUGAGUAAUAUGAAUGUAUCAUUUAUAUAGAGCCAAAGUUUUUCCCUUUUUGAGUUUUGGGGAUGUAAUUGUGGAUAUUGGUGCUUGCAAAUUGUUCUGUUUAGUUUUGAAAAUCACUUUUGGAUAUGUACAUUGAAUUUAAUCCUAUUGAAUGCAAAUUUGUUUUCUUUGGUGUAGAUUUAAUAUCUCUUAUGUUUAUAAAAGAAUUGGCACCUCAAUUGUGCAAUUGUGUUUUGUAUUUGCUGUGUGAGUAAUAAAAUGUAGUAUUUUAACAUAAAUGGAAGUUUUUUGCUUUAUUGAGUUUUGUGAAAUUGAAUUUUUGUUGAUUUGGUCACAGUAUGAUUCCACACAAGACCAAGCGUGGUGCUGCUGCACUUGCUCGCUUGAAGGUUUUCGAGGGAAUCCCACCUCCAUAUGACAAGAUUAAGAGAAUGGUUAUUCCUGAUGCUCUUAAGUAAGUUCUCUUUUGUUUUUGUGUUCUGUUUUGUUCCUAUGAUUUUGUAAUAGUUAAUGAUCAGUUGAUUUUGUAAUCAGGGUUUUGAGACUUCAGAGUGGCCACAAGUACUGCUUAUUGGGACGUCUAUCGUCUGAGGUUGGCUGGAACCAUUACGAUACCAUUAAGGUGAGUCUUUCGCACUCAACUCUGAAUAUCUUGCUUCAUUUUUGCUUCUGCUAAACUGGUUUCUGUGUAGACAUUGAGUUAUGGAUACCAAAUCCUGCUUAAUUGGAGAAUUUUGUAGAAUUAGGUCACUGAAAUUGAUGUUUGGAGUUUUUGAUUGUAACAGGAACUUGAGACAAAGAGAAAGGAAAAAUCACAAGUGGUGUAUGAGCGUAAGAAGCAACUCAACAAGCUCAGGGCCAAGGCAGAAAAGGUUGCGGAAGAGAAGCUCGGAUCACAGCUCGAUGUUCUUGCCCCGGUUAAGUAUUAAGAAAAUCGACGUCUAUCACCUCAAAGUCUUAAACCCAUUUCGUUGAAGCUAGUCUUGAUUUUGAUUUUGCAUCUGAAAUUUGAUUUUGUUAGUGUCAGAAAGAAUUCUCUCUUUUCCAUUUUCAUUACUCUAUUGCUCUGCAGCUUCUGCUGUAUACAAUUUAUGUUGGUUCUUAUUUCAAUCAAAACAAUUUUAUUUCACAAAGUUAAAUUGUCUAUUGAUAUUCACAGAUUACACCAAAUCUACACAAACACACAUUGACUAAAGCAGAGUCAACAACCAGAAUUAGAAACUUAUGGGAGAUGAAUGGAAGAUGAAGUAGGUGAUGAUACUGAAUCAUGAUCCUUGACUAGAAGUUGCUUCACUUCAUCUUCCAUUUGCGUCAUCUCUUUGUGUUCUGCUACAUCAUCAUCCUUGACCUUAGCAUUACUGUUAUCCUCAAUGACAUGAACAUCAUACAUAAUCGGUUCUCUAUCCUCAUCGCCUUCUCUCUUCUCGUUGAAACCAUCAUCUUGGGUCUCUUGAUCAUCAUCAAUGUGCUUGUAAGUCUCAAGUUCUUUCUCAAGAAAAUGCUUCUCUCUCUCUCUUUUAAAAAGAAUCUCCUUGAGUAUAUUCAUCUCUUCCUCAUCAUAAGCAAAUUUCUCAUCAAUCAUUCUCUCAUAUUGCUUCCCUUCCAUCUCAAGCGAAGCUUUAUCCGCUUGUAACCUCAGAAUCAUAGCCAUAGCUUCAUCAGCUGCUGAUGCUGAAGCUGCUCUUUCUUCCUCCAAUUCAACCAUUAAAGCAGCUCUAGCUACUCUCUCUUCCUCAACUGCUUCUUCCAACAACCUCACUUUAUCAAUCAAUUCCAAGUUCUUAUCUUUCUCAACCAAAUUCUUCUUCUCUUCUUGAUCUUCCUGAUGAUGCAAAACGCUUAGCCUAGUAGUAGUAGCUAGCUUCUGGACUCUGAGUAUGAUUCUGAAUGGCCAAUCAAAGAGAAGUUUUUGGAUGCAGAGAUCACUGUUUUGGUAUCCAAGAAUUCCAGAACAAGGACAUGGCAAAAACAGUAGCAACUUCGAUGUAAUAAAGACGAUAGCCGAUACACAUAGAAGACAAUAAGCAAAUGCUAAUUCCAUAAAAGCAACCAAAAUUCCAUAAAAUGUCAAUCUAUAACUUUCCGGGUAGUCCAUUUCUCUUUCUCUCUCAAUCAGUAACCCUGAAUCUGAAUAUGAUUUCUCAACACACACACUCGAUGAAACUAAAGUCACAAAUUGCAAAAACCUCAGCCAAAAAUCUAGAGAUCUGUAAAUAGAAACCUAAAUCAAGAAAAUCAAGAAAAGGGUAUUAGCUCUUUUAGACUAGAAUGGAGAUUUCAAGAAAAUAAGUAACUCUUACACAAAUAUUUAUUCAGCCGAAACACAAAAUCAUAAUAUCCAAAACAAGAUUUACCCAAAAAAAGCAAAAAAAGUUGGGGAAACGAAAGUCACUAAAGAAACCCUAACGAGAAAACUUUAUACAAAGCCAAAAAUAAAUUGCGUAGUUCAGAAGAAAAGUCAAGAACAUAUAUAGACAGAGAAAAAGAGGAAGAGAAGAGGAUAGAGAUGAAGUUGAGAUCAGAGUAACACCUGAAAGUCGAAGGAGAUACAAAGAGAAGGGAGCUUUUAUUAGGACAGAGAAUCUUGGUUGUUGUUUAAUUGUUUUGUUUGUUUUUUAAUUAAAUAAAAUGAAGAAGAAAAAAAGAGUCGGUAAUAAUUUUGUCGCUUAGUUCACAAGUUCUCCAGAUAAUCAAAAUGAUGGAGCCACGUGACAAAACAAAUAGAGUAAUAAAUAUUUUGAUAGCUGGUAUAUGGCUUAAUAGAUUGAUAUUUUGAGGUGAUGCUGUUUUCGCUGCUUUCUCUUUAAAAUCUUUCAGAGAAAGAGAAAGCUGAUGAAACUCUUUGCCGUCCGGAUUUCUUCCGGCUUCUGUUGCCCGAUUAGUCGGGUUUUAUCGUCUGGCAUCGAUCGAAUUCCAUAUCGGUGAUGGCCGGCUUUAGUCCGGCAUCGACCGAGUUCCAUGGCGGUGAUGGCCGGCUUCCUUUUUUCUUCUCCGGCGUAGUCCGGUUUUGUUAUUCGGUGUUGGUGUUAUCGUUUUAAGCGAUUUUUCGUUUAAAGAUGGCUCUUCUCCGACUCGUUUCGGUUUAGACAUGCGGUUUACAACAAAUUUCAAGGAUAGUUGCGAUUAAAGUUGAAGAAAAGAAGAAUUUUCCUUCGCGUAUUUUAAUUUCCUUUUAGCCGUAAUCUCAAAUUUCGGAGCUUUGAUUCAUCAUACAAGAAGUUUGAUCGGUGAAAAACAAAGGAAUCAAUAGUCGAAUUUCAGUUUUCGAUGAUAAUUUACUUCACCGGAAUCGGUUCCUCAGACGGCGGAAGUUGUUGUCGGGAAAGCUUUAGAUUUUUCAUCCAAUACGUGUGUUUGUUGUUACCCCUUGUUGACACGUGUAUUUGUGUGAGGACAAUGAUAACUUUCUUCAUCCUUAAGUUAUGUAACUGGGCUUUUAUGGGCUGUAAUGUAACAAGCAUUUUAUGAAUAAAGUUUACACUUAUGAGAAAAAAAAAAAAAAAGAUUGAUAUUUUGAGGUUUUCUAAAAAAAUAUAUUGUUUAAUUAUUUAAUAUUAUUUUUUAUUUCAGA
rnacentral:lncRNA from 1 species